UACGGGGGGGGUAAGCGUUGUUCGGAAUUACUGGGCGUAAAGCGUGCGCAGGCGGUUUUGUAAGCCAGAUGUGAAAUCCCCGGGCUUAACCUGGGAAUGGCAUUUGGGACUGCAAGGCUGGAGUGCGGCAGAGGAGACUGGAAUUCCUGGUGUAGCAGUGAAAUGCGUAGAUAUCAGGAGGAAUACCGAUGGCGAAGGCAGGUCUCUGGGCUGACACUGACGCUCAUGCACGAAAGCGUGGGGAGCAAACAGG
rnacentral:rRNA from 1 species